rnacentral:lncRNA from 1 species
GGAAUGUUGGGUCUGCACCUUAAACUACUCACUAAAAUAGGUCGUAUGGAUCUUAGAACUAAAUUAAAAAAAAAAAAAAACCAAACCCACAGGUAGUAAGUAGUACUUCUUGUCUUUUCAAGACAAGGUUUCUCUGUGUAGCCCAGGCUGGUCUGGAACUCAGAAAUCCUCCUGCCUCUGCCUCCCAAGUGUCGGGACUACAGGUGUGCAUCAUCACAGUACAGAUGGAUUACCUUCCCCCACCCCAGCUGCUGUGAUUCAUCCCUGCAGUCUUAGCGAGGCUGAGGAGGUACACUAAACUAGUGUUGAUUUUCUGAGAGAGCAGCUGUCUUGUACCUAUGCUCUGUAGACCAGGCUGGUCUCAAAUUCCUAGGAGAUCCAUCAGCUCUGCCUCGUGGGUUCCAGGGUAUAUGCUAUUUAACAAAAAAAACUGACAGACAUCAGAUACAUAAGUUUUGUCCUCUGGUCGUUUAACUCUUCUGUGAUUAUGGUUUCUGAGACUGGGGCAGGGCUGUUCUGUUAAAAUAGAUAGGAGACCAAUGUGGAAGGCAGCAUGUAGAGUUUUAUGUUCAUAAAACCUAUCAGGAUUGCACGAGGGUAGCUGGGUAGAAACAGCAAUGGUCUGGGAUGAGCUGUUUUUACUCCAUUCUUAGACCAGAGAUGGCCUGCCAUGUGGCUUUAAUUUUGCUUUUUUGAGACAGGGUUUCGCUUUGCAGACUAGGCUGGCCUCAAAACCAGAGGCCUUUCUGCCUUUGCUCUGAAAGUGCUGGAGUGUGCCAUCCCACCCCCUCCCUUUUAAAACUUUACAUGUGUUGGUGUUUUGCCUGCAUGUGUCAGAUCCCCUGAAACUGAAGUUACAGUUCUGGGCUGCCAUGUGAGUGCUGGGACUUGACCCCAGACCCUCUGGAAGAGCAACUACUGGUGUCAGGCACUGAGCUCUCUCCAGCCCUUUCUGCCUUGUUUUUAAGAGAUGUUCACUUUCAGUGUCACCAUUUAGGUGAGUGCAGGUAGUAACUAUUGCUCCAUCUUGUUUUGUGCCUUCUCACUUCUCUUGCCCUUCUUUGAAACUUCCCCACAGCACUCAAACACCUGCACACUCACAGGCAAACCUUGAUGUCUUCUGCACUACCCAUUCUAGGCAGACCGUGAUUUUCAAUCUCAUACCUGCUCUCCCGUGUUCACCAUCAUUCAAGGGCUGAAACUCUAGCCUACAUACACAUCUAUCUGGUACUUCUCUUCUGUGGAACCAAAAUAUUUCAGAUCCAAAAGAGUCUAAACAUGUUUUGUUUGAUCUUUGUCCUUUCCUAUUGUUGUAUAGGCUAAAUCCCUGAAUUCUGGGCUCAGUUGAUAUUUAUUUCACUGUCGAGGUUCACAGGUGAGCACCAAUACAACAUCUUAAGAUCUAAAUG